rnacentral:rRNA from 1 species
GAUGAACGCUGGCGGCGUGCCUAAUACAUGCAAGUCGAGCGAAUGGAUUAAGAGCUUGCUCUUAUGAAGUUAGCGGCGGACGGGUGAGUAACACGUGGGUAACCUGCCCAUAAGACUGGGAUAACUCCGGGAAACCGGGGCUAAUACCGGAUAACAUUUUGAACCGCAUGGUUCGAAAUUGAAAGGCGGCUUCGGCUGUCACUUAUGGAUGGACCCGCGUCGCAUUAGCUAGUUGGUGAGGUAACGGCUCACCAAGGCAACGAUGCGUAGCCGGCCUGAGGGGGUGAUCGGCCACACUGGGACUGAGACACGGCCCAGACUCCUACGGGAGGCAGAAGUAGGGAAUCUUCCGCAAUGGACGAAAGUCUGACGGAGAACGCCGCGUGAGUGAUGAAGGCUUUCGGGUCGUAAAACUCUGUUGUUAGGGAAGAACAAGUGCUAGUUGAAUAAGCUGGCACCUUGACGGUACCUAACCAGAAAGCCACGGCUAACUACGUGCCAGCCGCCGCGGUAA